rnacentral:rRNA from 1 species
UACGUAGGGGGCAAGCGUUGUCCGGAAUCAUUGGGCGUAAAGAGCGUGUAGGCGGCCAGAAAAGUCCGCUGUGAAAACUCGAGGCUCAACUUCGAGCUGUCGGUGGAAACUUUCUGGCUAGAGUCCGGAAGAGGAGAAUGGAAUUCCUGGUGUAGCGGUGAAAUGCGCAGAUAUCAGGAAGAACACCCGUGGCGAAGGCGGUUCUCUGGAACGCAACUGACGCUGAGACGCGAAAGCGUGGGGAGCAAACAGG